AACACAGGCAUGUUUUUUGCUUUGCUUUGUUUAAAUUUUAUGUCAUUAAUGGUGAAAUCUUAUUAAAUGAUGAGAAGUCUUUAAAUUAAAAAAAAACACAAUUGAAAACUAUUUUGUUUUCGUGGACUAAGUUCAAACAUAGCUGGUUUUCACCUCAGACAGUAAGUGUGUGAUUGCUUCCCUUUGUUAUUAUUAAGACAUGACCUUGAUAUUCUGUCUGCAGAAGAUGAAACAAAAACAAAUUUUGGCAAACAUGUCAUACAAAAGUUAACAUUUAGAGAAACACAUCUAAAGAUGGAUCUAUAGCUUUUUAGAUGUUGACAAAAGGAUCACCUCAACACAAAGCGUUUAAUCAUACUUCGAAGUGAUGCAAAUAGAGAACUGUAUGCAGGCAGUGGAACUUGUGUAGAGCUGUGACGGGUGCAACAGCAGACCAGUCCGGGUAAAUCACUGAUGGCAGAAUGGAGGAUCCCAAUAAUCAAACAACUCCUUUAAGAACAAGGUCUUCUUUAGAAAAUUUCAACUGGGAACUGCAAUGUUUCAUUUGUGGAGAAAAAUGUGAUCCAAAAAGGGACAGUAAUUCAAAAGGUUAUUCUAGAAGUUGGUCAUUUGUUGAACAAUCUGAUUCAAUAGAUCCUAAAACAAUAUACUCAAAGGUCUUAGAUUUUGCAUAUAAACGUCAUGAUGAGCGUGUUAUUAAUCGUCUUCCAAAUGGUGAUCUUGUUGCUGUUAAGGCUAAAUACCACCGAAAAAAGGGUUGACUUGCAAGCUAUUACAAUACUGCUGAUUUAAACAUUGAAAAGGGUGACAUAUACAAUAUCACUUAAAAACA